AUGCCGCAAGAAAUCCUUCUGUAGCGAGGAAGUCAACCAGCCCGGCCAAGGAGGGCUCUUUGUUGUGUGGUGCCACACAAAGCAGCUAUCUAAAACAAAAUGUGAGACUUUUGAAAGUAAAGCUGAGUGGCCUUUUAACCUCCUUGGGGGGUUCGCGGAUCCAAGUGGGGAGCUACCAACUCACUGAGUCCCUUUCCUAAGAAAACAAGUGGACAGAGGCCAAGGCAUUGCAUGCACUCCCAGGCAUUCCGGGCCCCGGCCACCCCAGUUAUCGGAGCAGAUGAGGAACAUCUCUCUGGACCUUGUUCAGCUUCUCUGCCAGGGUCUCGAGCUCCGUCAGCGCCAUCUGAAGGGGCAGCCUGUCAGGAUGUCCUUUGGCAGUGUUCUUCAGCAUGUCCUGUGAGCAGGAGGCAGAGUAUGGGUGGUCAGCAAGGAUGCUUCUGACC
ensembl:antisense Gm16350 predicted gene 16350